rnacentral:rRNA from 1 species
UACGUAGGGGGCAAGCGUUGUCCGGAAUCAUUGGGCGUAAAGCGUCCGCAGGUGGCUAUGUAAGUCUGCUGUUAAAGAGUGAGGCUCAACCUCAUAAGAGCAGUGGAAACUACAUGGCUAGAGUGCGUCCGGGGCAGAGGGAAUUCCUGGUGUAGCGGUGAAAUGCGUAGAUAUCAGGAAGAGCACCGGUGGCGAAAGCGCUCUGCUAGGCCGCAACUGACACUGAGGGACGAAAGCUAGGGGAGCGAAUGGG